rnacentral:rRNA from 1 species
GUGGGGAAUAUUGCACAAUGGGGGAAACCCUGAUGCAGCGACGCCGCGUGGAGGAUGACGGCCUUCGGGUUGUAAACUCCUUUUGUCAGGGACAAUGGUGAUGGUACCUGACGAAUAAGCCACGGCUAACUCUGUGCCAGCAGCCGCGGUAAGACAGAGGUGGCGAGCGUUGUUCGGAAUUACUGGGCUUAAAGGGCGCGUAGGCGGUGGUGUAAGUCUGGGGUGGAAUGCUACAGCUCAACUGUAGAGCUGCCUUGGAAACUGCAUUACUUGAGUCGGUGAGGGGAAGGCGGAAUUCCUGGUGUAGCGGUGAAAUGCGUAGAUAUCAGGAGGAAGGUCUGUGGCGAAGGCGGCCUUCUGGCACUUGACUGACGCUGAGGCGCGAAAGCGUGGGGAGCAAACAGGAUUAGAAACCCGGGUAGUCC